CUAUAAUGCAGUCGAGCGGACAGAUGGGAGCUUGCUCCCUGAUGUUAGCGGCGGACGGGUGAGUAACACGUGGGUAACCUGCCUGUAAGACUGGGAUAACUCCGGGAAACCGGGGCUAAUACCGGAUGGUUGUUUGAACCGCAUGGUUCAGACAUAAAAGGUGGCUUCGGCUACCACUUACAGAUGGACCCGCGGCGCAUUAGCUAGUUGGUGAGGUAACGGCUCACCAAGGCGACGAUGCGUAGCCGACCUGAGAGGGUGAUCGGCCACACUGGGACUGAGACACGGCCCAGACUCCUACGGGAGGCAGCAGUAGGGAAUCUUCCGCAAUGGACGAAAGUCUGACGGAGCAACGCCGCGUGAGUGAUGAAGGUUUUCGGAUCGUAAAGCUCUGUUGUUAGGGAAGAACAAGUGCCGUUCAAAUAGGGCGGCACCUUGACGGUACCUAACCAGAAAGCCACGGCUAACUACGUGCCAGCAGCCGCGGUAAUACGUAGGUGGCAAGCGUUGUCCGGAAUUAUUGGGCGUAAAGGGCUCGCAGGCGGUUUCUUAAGUCUGAUGUGAAAGCCCCCGGCUCAACCGGGGAGGGUCAUUGGAAACUGGGGAACUUGAGUGCAGAAGAGGAGAGUGGAAUUCCACGUGUAGCGGUGAAAUGCGUAGAGAUGUGGAGGAACACCAGUGGCGAAGGCGACUCUCUGGUCUGUAACUGACGCUGAGGAGCGAAAGCGUGGGGAGCGAACAGGAUUAGAUACCCUGGUAGUCCACGCCGUAAACGAUGAGUGCUAAG
rnacentral:rRNA from 1 species